CUCAACAAUUUGCUAGGAUAAAUCAUUCCACAAUGGAAGAAGAAGCAACACUGCGCAAAACGUAAACAAGGAAAGUAGGGGACACAAGAAAUCGCACAUCACUCCCGCACAUCCUUCCACAACGAAAGUUCUGGGCAGACUGAGGAUGCCUAACUCCCAGAUGAGUGCGAUAGCAGAAAAAAAUCAUGGUAGAUCGAGAGAGAUGGGUAGACUCGAUGUAGCGCAAUCCAACGGUAGAUGCAUGUGUGUGUGACCAACGAAAGACUUCGGACCCCGCUCCUCGCGUUUUUCAUCCAUCGUUGUUCGUCACACGCACACACCUCUACACGCGCAGCGGUUUGCUGUCCAAAAUCUAGAGAGAGAAGACAGGGCAUCUCGCUUUGGCACACAGAAAAAUCUCUGAAAAACUUCGGCUCUGCUACUUGGGUUGAAGCUGAGUUGGCGAAAUUAUUCAACCGAUCCGUCGGGUCCCGAAGCCGAAGCAAACCCGAAGCCGAAGCAAAACCCGAACGGGGUUCGGCACGACCCUUCGUUAAAAUAGCCCCCUCCCCCUUUUUUGCCAGGAUUUCUUUCCGAAAUGAUACACCCAAGUAGCAGAGCCGAAGUUGUUCAGAGAUUUUUCUGUGUGCCAAAGCGAGAUGCCCUGUCUUCUCUCUCUAGAUUUUGGACAGCAAACCGCCGCGCGUGUAGAGGUGUGUGCGUGUGACGAAAAAUGAUGGAUGAAAAACGCGAGGAGCGGGGUCUUUAGUCUUUCGUUGGUCACACACACAUGCAUCUACCAGCGGAUUGCGCUACACCGAGUCUACCCAUCUCUCUCGAUCUACCAUGAUUUUUUCUGCUAUCGCGCUCAUCCGGGUGUUAGGCAUCCUCAGUCUGUCCAGAACUUUCGUUGUGGAAGGAUGUGCGGGAGUGAUGCGCGAUUUCUUGUGUCCCCUACUUUCCUUGUUUACGUUUUGCGCAGUGUUGCUUCUUCUUCCAUUGUGGAAUGAUUUAUCCUAGCUAACUUGUUGAGUUACAGGUGCAUGCGCCAUUCAUCAACGCCUACCUGUUGGCAUCAUCAGCAAUCUUCAAAGUGGGUGACGGAAAGAAAUUGUUUUCCAGUUUUAAAAUAUUAUGCGUUCAGCACAACUCAGCCACAAAACAACGCACUGGAUUGCGCUAAGAACCUGUCGAAACGCGCGCAGCCCCCGGGAGCGGUAGGAGAAAGGAAGAACUAGAGGAGGAAAAACUAAAGCCAGCGCGCAGCUCUGAUGGUACCCCGGACGCGGUAAGAAGAAAAAAGAUCGAGAGGAGGAAGAACGGUAAAUUUGGAAGGGGGAGACCGUUCUGCCGUCUCCACAGUGUGAGUAUGCCAAAGCACGUGUUGGAAGGGAGAGAAAAAGUGUGGAAUAAACCGCAUGCGAAUGUGUGCAUACAGCAAAAGUAAA